GAUUUCAACUGAAAAAGUCAUCAACAACAAAGUUGUAUAACUCAUUAAGAUCUAUAACUUUUAUUUUUGUUAUUUCUUCAUCCGACAAAGUGUUAGUAACAUUAUUUAUAAAAUUUAGAUAUUUGUGUUAUAGUUUAUAAAACCAGAUGAGAGAUAUGUAAAUUUUGUGAACAAUGUUACUAUCACUUUGUCGGAUGAAUAAAUGACCGAAAUAAAAGUUAUAGAUCUUCUGAAUUAUACAACUUUGUUGUUAUGACUUUUUCAGUUGAUAUC
rnacentral:pre_miRNA from 2 species